GUUGAGAUGGCGCCACUGCACUCUCCAGCCUGGGCUAUUGCUUUUGGAAGUAGGGCUUGGAUCUCCCUCCUGUUUGCCUGGGGGUAAACACAUGGUAUCGUGGGGUUAUGAACACACGUUGCCUGCGCCAGAUAGCAACACUGGCUCCAGUUUUGAAAAUAAAGGUGAUCCGCCCUCCUCGGCUUCCCAAAGUGCUGGGAUUACAAGCAUGAGCCACCGCGCCCGUCCGUCACCUUCUUACUUGGAGUCUUGUGUGAAACACACCACGGAGUUCACAUUUACUUACAGCUGGAGGAAGCUGCCCACCUUGUGUGAUAAGGUUGGAGCCUGUCUGCGACACCUCCCUGUGUGUCUCCACAUGUCCUCAGGCCUGCUGGGGGGCUCCCUUGCCCUGGUGUCUCACGCAGAGGAAGGACGUGGUGUAUGUGGAGAGCCAGCCUGGCGGUGUGCCUAGUGACUGCCCAGCCAGUGGAAGCUGCUGCUUUUGCCU